rnacentral:lncRNA from 1 species
UUCCGUUUCUCUGCCUCCUCUCGUCUCUGUCUCAGGUGACCGGAUCUGCUGUCAGGGCGUCUGUGGCCAACGGUUGGCAGCCUGUCGGUGGUAGCGGCGCUGCUGUUCGGCCGCCGCUGGGAGAGGCAACCGAAGGAGAAGCAGCCGUUGCUGAUGGGAAGGCUGCGGUGGCUGGCUGAAGGCAGAUCGGAGUUUGCUGUGGGGAGGCUGCAACAAGGAAGUAAAUGCAGGGGCUGGACCAGGAGAGGAAAAUAGGGGGGAACGGUGAUGAGGCUGUUAGCCAAGGGAAGAAGGAACGGCUGAGGGGGAGGGAGG